rnacentral:rRNA from 1 species
GACGAACGCUGGCGGCGUGCUUAACACAUGCCAGUCGAACGGAAAGGCCCUGCUUUUGUGGGGUGCUCGAGUGGCGAACGGGUGAGUAACACGUGAGUAACCUGCCCUUGACUUUGGGAUAACUUCAGGAAACUGGGGCUAAUACCGGAUAGGAGCUCCUGCUGCAUGGUGGGGGUUGGAAAGUUUCGGCGGUUGGGGAUGGACUCGCGGCUUAUCCGCUUGUUGGUGGGGUAGUGGCUUACCAAGGCUUUGACGGGUAGCCGGCCUGAGAGGGUGACCGGCCACAUUGGGACUGAGAUACGGCCCAGACUCCUACGGGAGGCAGCAGUGGGGAAUAUUGCACAAUGGGCGGAAGCCUGAUGCAGCAACGCCGCGUGCGGGAUGACGGCCUUCGGGUUGUAAACCGCUUUCGCCUGUGACGAAGCGUGAGUGACGGUAAUGGGUAAAGAAGCACCGGCUAACUACGUG